rnacentral:rRNA from 1 species
UCCGUUGGUGAACCAGCGGAGGGAUCAUUACCGAGUUUACAACUCCCAAACCCCUGUGAACAUACCUAUACGUUGCCUCGGCGGAUCAGCCCGCGCCCUGUAAAAAGGGACGGCCCGCCCGAGGACCCUAAACUCUGUUUUUAGUGGAACUUCUGAGUAAAACAAACAAAUAAAUCAAAACUUUCAACAACGGAUCUCUUGGUUCUGGCAUCGAUGAARAACGCAGCAWAAUGCGAUAAGUAAUGUGAAUUGCAGAAUUCAGUGAAUCAUCGAAUCUUUGAACGCACAUUGCGCCCGCCAGUAUUCUGGCGGGCAUGCCUGUUCGAGCGUCAUUUCAACCCUCAAGCUCAGCUUGGUGUUGGGACUCGCGGUAACCCGCGUUCCCCAAAUCGAUUGGCGGUCACGUCGAGCUUCCAUAGCGUAGUAAUCAUACACCUCGUUACUGGUAAUCGUCGCGGCCACGCCGUAAAACCCCAACUUCUGAAUGUUGACCUCGGAUUCAAGGUAGGAAUAACCCGCUGAACUUAAGCAUA